CUGGAGGCUGCAUUUGGCUGCUUCCUAUACAGGUCCUUCUUGUUUGUAUGGCUUCAUACGACUGAGUAAGAGAGUCAGAUAGCAAGAUGGAAGGUACAGUAUGUAACUCAAUCAUGGAAGUGGCAUUAUCUUUGCUUUAUUCUGUUGCUUAGAAACAAAUCAUAAGCCCUGCCUAUGCUUGAGGGGGUUGGAAUUACAUAAGGACCUAAAACAAGAAGGUGGACUGAUUUGGGCUAUUGUUAGCCUGGUUACCACAGAAAUUUCUUUUUUAAGCCCUCACUUAUUUCUUACAAUAAACGUAAGGUCAUCCCUUUUGUGGCUCUUCUCUAUAGCUACCUACCUACCUUUUACUAGUAUUUUUAUGGUUGGCUUGGGCUUUUUAUUUUCUCCAUGUGACUGCUUUUGCACAUCUUUAAUUCAGUUGCAGCUCCUAGAACAGUUUUAUUUUGUAUAUUGUUCUGCAAAAGAUGCCUUCCUUCUAUUGUGUAAAACUGAAGGAGCAAACCAGUUCCUCUCCUGUGUAAUACUUGAGUCUCCUUUUCUUGCUCAGCAGCUACACAGCAUUCAUUUUAUAAAUCUAGAAAUUUGAGAAUUGGUAGCAACUCAGUGACUUAUCCAUAUGUCUAUCAGCUAGCUGGUAUGGUUGCUCACAUUGUGCUGAUUUGCAUUCAACACUAGAGCCUGUUAUCUUAUUAAGGAAAAGCAGUUGUCUGUCAAAGACAUAAACAAUACCAGCUUAAAACAUUAGCUGUUUUUGAGUGGUUCAUUGUUCUUUUUCCUGGAAGCUUGAUGGAUCUUAGAAAUGAUAUAAUCUAUAAAAAUGAAUUCAUUUCUGUUUAAACUAGCUGGCUCCUGUUCCCUCUUAAUAAUCACUUUGUGGUCCCACUAUUUCUAGGUCAUAACAAAUGCAUUAAAAAGAGGGCUGGCCUUUGGGGAAGCAGCAUUUAAUUUCUUUCUCUUCAACCAGCAGUGAUCUAGCCUUCAUUAUGCCUAUUUAAGAUGUUCUAUAGGGUGAAUAUUCAAUAUACUUUAAAAGACUUGUAACAGACAUGGUAUCAUUUGGUAUCUGUGGGCCUGCAAACUUCAAAUGUGGUAUAAUUCAUCUGGUUUAGCUUCCCAUGCUUGGGGGACAAUCCUUGUGUACCUCUCUAAGAUAGCUUCUAACCUUUUUCAUUACUUGUCUUAUUAGUGUACUAACUAGUCUUAAAAGGCACAUAAAGAAAUGAUAGUCUAGUUUUAGUGAACACAUUUGUGGUACUGAAAUGUUGACAUCACAGUAGAAUGAGAUGACUGGUCCCUUUAAGAAAAUCUGAUGUAAAAGCCAAUUUACACUUGGAGGAAUCUUCCAUCUGUUGAAAAAGAUGCAGAAUGGGUGAAUUAGAGACAGACAGAGGUGAAAGCACACGAGUGUGUAUGUCUUCAUUUUAGGUCUUUGGGGAGCCAUGAGGCUAAAAGCCAAUUAAAGCUUUAGUAGAGAGGAAUUUAAAAGUCAUUUCUCUUGGGCAAAGGAAAGAUUUAGAGCAGAGAGUGCUCAGAGAAAAGCAGGAAGGUGUUGAAUUAAUGCAGCCAACUCCUUGGAAUUGGAAUCACUGCAAAGCCCCCAUCUAAGAUGACCCUGUGAAGGAUUCAGGUUGGGGCCCUAAAGAGACUCUAGGACUUAGGAACUUGAGUAUAUGUGUGCUAGUCAGCCUAAAGAGGAAAAUGGCUGCAUCCUGUCAUGUUGGGUCCUCCCUUCUCUAACUUCUUACCCGGUUUUCAAAUUAAUACAGUUCAGAGGAAUUGAUAUUCUUGGGAGUUUUUAAAUCUCUUACUGAUUGGGUAUUAACUGCCUUUUCAUUCACUUAUUUAUCUCAAUAUAUUAAGGCUUUCUCUUACCAGUCUCUGCCCAUGUAUUUUCAUCAGGUGGCCUAUUGCUACCUAAUUUAUAUUCCAGUUGAUUUUCCUAAUCUCUAUCAUAGAAUGCAGACUGUAUAUCCAUCUUGCAAAGAGAAUAUCACCAUAUGUUUGUUCUAUUGUGACCUUGAACUCAGAGUCCAAAAUGAAGUUGACUCUCCCAGUGUCUAGAACCAAGAUAGAUCACUUAGAUGGCAUGGUUUCCUUCCCCACUCUAUGUCCAUAGAUGGCAUGUCCUUUCUGAAGGUAGUGUGGCAUCAUAGGGAGAGGAUGAGGCCUUGGCAUUAAUGAGAGUCAAGCUUGAAUCCUGACCUAUCGCUGUGCCUUCCUAACUGACAUCCAUUGAAAAGCCUGAUAUUUUGUAUUUUUGAGCCUUGUUUUUCCAAACUUUAGAAUUGUAGUAGAAUUCCCUGCCUACUUCACUUGGACUGCUAGGGAAUAUUAAAUCUAGUGCUGUAUGCGAAUCAUCUAAUACAAUGCCAAGUGUGUGAUAUCAGCUCCAUGAUGAGUUACUAGUUACAGGGUUGAGUGUGAUUAGCACCAAGCUUUUCAUGUACAGGCCUAUGUUUUGGGACACAGUCUCAUAGAAGUUUCUUCAAGAGUGUGGAAUAAUGAGCAUAUAUUGGGUGUCCCUCCCACUUUUUACAGAUGUGGUUGGCUUUCAUAUUUCAGAAGAGCCAAAGCCCAUGUGUAAUCUCAUCCACAGUGUUUCAGUGCAGCACUGUUGGCAUCUCAGGCUUUCUGCCUGAGGUUAAUCUUUUCUCUUGGGCUCUGAUCUUAUUCCUUCCUUCCCAGGGACCCCUCCUUUUUCUAAUUGAGCUCACUUCUACCACACCUUCUUGACUUGUUUCUUCCCAUCAUCAGCUAACUAUUCAAAGCCCCUCUUAUCUU
rnacentral:lncRNA from 1 species